UCGCGGCUUAUCACCGGCAGUCUCCUUAGAGUGCUCAACUUAAUGGUAGCAACUAAGGACGGGGGUUGCGCUCGUUGCGGGACUUAACCCAACAUCUCACGACACGAGCUGACGACAGCCAUGCAGCACCUGUGUUCCAGGCCCCGAAGGGAAGGCCACAUCUCUGCGACCGGUCCUGGACAUGUCAAGAGCUGGUAAGGUUCUUCGCGUUGCAUCGAAUUAAUCCACAUGCUCCGCCGCUUGUGCGGGCCCCCGCCAAUUCCUUUGAGUUUUAGCCUUGCGGCCGUACUCCCCAGGCGGGGCGCUUAAUGCGUUAGCUACGGCACGGAUCCCGUGGAAGGAAACCCACACCUAGCGCCCACCGUUUACGGCGUGGACUAC
rnacentral:misc_RNA from 1 species